UUUAUGUUUUCUUGUCAUAGAUCCUAAAUCGGUGGUUUGAGUCAGAGCCACUGAUCGCUACGCUAGCUACUGAUGCUGUGAUAGGAGCCAUGACCA